GACAGAGGUCCCGAGCGUUAGGCGGAAUCACUGGGCUUAAAGCGUGUGUAGGCGGGUCGUUAAGUGCCUUGUGAAAUCCCCAGGCUUAACCUGGGAACUGCGUCGGAUACUGGAUGGCUUGAAUUCGGGAGAGGGAUGCAGAAUUCCAGGUGUAGCGGUGAAAUGCGUAGAUAUCUGGAGGAAUACCGGUGGCGAAGGCGGCAUCCUGGACCGACAUUGACGCUGAACGGCGAAAGCUAGGGGAGCAAACGGG
rnacentral:rRNA from 1 species